CAUGUGGAUUAAUUCGGUGCAACGCGAAGAACCUUACCUGGGUUUGACAUGCACAGGACGCUGGUAGAGAUAUCAGUUCCCUUGUGGCCUGUGUGCAGGUGGUGCAUGGCUGUCGUCAGCUCGUGUCGUGAGUUGUUGGGUUAAGUCCCGCAACGAGCGCAACCCCUAUCUUAUGUUGCCAGCGCGUCAUGGCGGGGACUCGUAAGAGACUGCCGGGGUCAACUCGGAG
rnacentral:rRNA from 1 species